CCAAUAGCGUAUAUUAAAGUUGUUGCAGUUAAAAAGCUCGUAGUUGAAUUUUUGAUUCUGCCAAUUGGUCCAUCUUUUAGAUGAGUACUGGUUGUGUGGGGUCUAUCCGCCUGGUGAUACGUAAUGUCCUUUAUUGGAUGUUGCGGGUAGUCAGGACCUUUACCUUGAAAAAAUUAGAGUGUUUAAAGCAGGCUUAUGCCGGAAUACAUUAGCAUGGAAUAAUAGAAUAGGACGAAGUUGUUUUAUUUUGUUGGUUUCUAGGACAACCGUAAUGAUUAAUAGGGAUAGUUGGGGGCAUUAGUAUUCAAUUGUCAGAGGUGAAAUUCUUGGAUUUAUUGAAGACUAACUACUGCGAAAGCAUUUGCCAAGGAUGUUUUCAUUAAUCAAGAACGAAAGUUAGGGGAUCGAAGACGAUCAGAUACCGUCGUAGUCUUAACCAUAAACUAUGCCGACUAGGGAUCGGGCGAUGUUGUUUCCAUGACUCGCUCGGCACCUUAUG
rnacentral:rRNA from 1 species